UGACAUGCGUCAUGCGCCAAGGAUCCACUGCUGAUAAGCAACCCCCACUCCCCACACACACAACCACCAAAAACUGAUUUAAGAUCUCUAAAGCAGAACUGUCCGCAGAGGACUAUCUCCACAAAGCUGCUACGCCUGAGUAGCGAGCCCCACUUUGGAAAACAUCGCCCAUGGGAGGAGAGGAAGGGAUUUUCAAAAGCUGUCUCACACUUUCCAAGAUUUCCAUCUUGCACGCCUUCCAGAUGUCUUGGAAAGGCCGACAGCUUUCUCCACGCAUGCAACAUUCCUGCUGGACCGUGUUCCCUGUCAAUCAGCCAGGUCCAACAGCAUGCUCAAGUCUGCAAGUAUUUGAACAGAAGACUAUUCUACAUAUUUAAAAAUAGAUACAAGCUUAUGUUGGUUGAUAGGUGUUGUCUGCAGUCCAGAUCCUAUCACAACAUUGAAACUUUUAUGUGGGAUUAUAUAAAAAGGUCUGUAUGGUUGGGGGAAAAAAAUAAAGAAUAUAUAUGUAUGUGUGCUUUUGUGCUCCUAUUUUUUCAAGUAUUGUAAUUUGCCAUUUGGGAAUGAUGUGAUUUUUUUUCCUGUUUCCUUUUCUUUAUUGUGUUUGCGUCAUUAUUUGUAUAGAUAACCAGAUGUCUUCAUCUUUAAAACACAUGUCUUUAUCAUAUUUCUCAUUUUUACACUUAGUAAUGCAAAGUAAAGCAUAAAAAUGUCUGUUAUGCAUUAUUUAACAGUUAAAUAAUACUUAAUGAUGCAUCAAAUAACGUUAAUAAUGGAACCUAAAUUGUAAAGUGUUACCCACAUAUCUAUUUCAAUAAAUUCAGUAAGAAUUGUGCUUUUUUAUAGUUGUACAUAUUUUUUUCCUUUCCAACCAAUAAAUAAAUUUAAAUAAGACUG